AGUGAACGCUGGCGGUAGGCCUAACACAUGCAAGUCGAACGGCAGCACAGUAAGAGCUUGCUCUUACGGGUGGCGGGUGGCGGACGGGUGAGGAAUACAUCGGAAUCUACUUUUUCGUGGGGGAUAACGUAGGGAAACUUACGCUAAUACCGCAUACGACCUACGGGUGAAAGCAGGGGAUCUUCGGACCUUGCGCGAUUGAAUGAGCCGAUGUCGGAUUGGCUAGUUGGCGGGGUAAAGGCCCACCAAGGCGACGAUCCGUAGCUGGUCUGAGAGGAUGAUCAGCCACACUGGAACUGAGACACGGUCCAGACUCCUACGGGAGGCAGCAGUGGGGAAUAUUGGACAAUGGGCGCAAGCCUGAUCCAGCCAUACCGCGUGGGUGAAGAAGGCCUUCGGGUUGUAAAGCCCUUUUGUUGGGAAAGAAAAGCAGCAGGUUAAUACCCCGCUGUUCUGACGGUACCCAAAGAAUAAGCACCGGCUAACUUCGUG
rnacentral:rRNA from 1 species